GCAGCAGGCACGCAAAUUACCCACUCCCGGCACGGAGAGGUAGUGACAAAAAAUAACGAUACGGGACUCUUUUGAGGCCCCGUAAUCGGAAUGAGUACACUUUAAAUCCUUUAACAAGGAUCGAUUGGAGGGCAAGUCUGGUGCCAGCAGCCGCGGUAAUUCCAGCUCCAAUAGCGUAUAUUAAAGUUGUUGCAGUUAAAAAGCUCGUAGUUGGUUUUGCGUUCAACGCUGUCGGUUCGCCGCCUGACGGUGAAACUGGCAUGUCGUUGUACGUCCUGCCGGUGGUAAAUUAUUGCCUGGUGUGUGACAAAAAAACUUUUAGUUAUUUUGUUGCUACCUUUGUUGCAAUUGUUUACCGAUAUCCUACCCGGUGCUCUUAAACGAGUGUCGCGGUAGGCCGGCAAAUUUACUUUGAACAAAUUAGAGUGCUUAAAGCAGGCUAAAAAUAUAGCCUGAAUAGUGGUGCAUGGAAUAAUAGAAUAGGACCUCGGUUCUAUUUUGUUGGUUUUUGGAACACAAGGUAAUGAUUAAUGUAGACAAUCGGGGGCAUUCGUAUUGCGGCGUUAGAGGUGAAAUUCUUGGAUCGUCGCAAGACGCACAAAAGCGAAAGCAAUUGCCAAGUAUGUCUUAAUUGAUCAAGAACGAAAGUUAGAGGCCCGAAGGCGAUCAGAUACCGCCCUAGUUCUAACCAUAAACGAUGCCAGCCAGCGAUCCGACGUGUUCAUAUUAUGACACGUGCGGGCAGCUUUUACCCGGGAAACCAAAGCUGUUGGGUUCCGGGGGAAGUAUGGUUGCAAAGCUGAAACUUAAAGGAAUUGACGGAAGGGCACCACCAGGAGUGGAGCCUGCGGCUUAAUUUGACUCAACACGGGAAACCUCACCGGGUCAGGACAUUGUAAGGAUUGACAGAUUGAUAGCUCUUUCUUGAUUCAGUGGGUAGUGGUGCAUGGCCGUUC
rnacentral:rRNA from 1 species